UAUAUGUCUGUGCCUAGCUUUCCGACAUUCCAACUUCAGAGUGUUUGUUCAGUUACCUAGUGGACUCGAGGAAGCUGCUUGUAGAUCAAACUCAAAGGCCAAGUUGUUAGAAGGUUUGUUCACUCUCUUAGUGACCAGCUUGGUUGGGGUGGGAGUCAUUCGUGGAGUCAGACCAGAUCAGCAGUUGGUGUAACGUCAACUGCAAUUUAACCUUGGUCUUACAUAAACUUGUCUAUUUGGAAACUAAUAUCAGGGUUCCAGUGAUUCUUGUCACAGCUGUCAGUGACUAUAAACAGCCUCUCCUUUUUCAAAACCUGAAUGAUGAAAAGAGGAACAUACAUCUAGAGGUGACAAGAGGUGGAAGACGAGUUUGAUCAUUUCAAUCUAUGACAUUGUGGUGGGUGAUAUCAUACCUCUCAACAUUGGCAAUCAGGCUGUUUGCCUGCUUUGAUUGUCAUGGAGGUAUAUGGGGAAACCGAUUAAAACUGUUGGGAUGUGGAGAGUGAAUGGACACGAUCUUGAACCCUUUGAUCCUGAAGGAAUGGCUGGACGAAUUCUUGGAAUGGCAACAGAAACUAAAAGGAGAGCCUAUGAACUUUUUAAAAAGGCUACAAUACAAGAAAGAACGGCGCGUGAUUAGACAUCAUAAUAAUUGGAGAGAGUUUCAGAUUGCUGCUGCUAGCGUGAUAGUAUAGAGACCACACAUGCAACACCCGUUCGGUUCCCAAGGAAAACUGUGUGGCUUUGCAUGAAUUGAGAAAGAUUUUACGCAGAUGCUCUUAGAACCACUCUGAUUCCUUUCAUCCUUUGUCCCAAGUUAAAAUGGAGGCAGCAGCGGCGGAGAUCGAAAGGGCUAAAACGUCCGCGUUGCAAGACAUAAGGGUUCUCAAGGGUCUUCAAGGCGACUCCAAUCUCGUGAACGGAGCUGGGCUCAGUCACUUACCCGUAGCAGCGGAGACAGAGUUCACUAUGGCAAAAACGUCAGUAUGGUGGGAUAUUGGGAACUGCGAGGUCCCUAAAGGUUGUAACGCCCAUGGUAUUGCUCAGAACAUUAGCUCGGCUCUGUCGAAGAUGAGCUAUAAUGGUUCACUCACUAUUUCUGCCUACGGCGACACCAGUCAAAUCCCUUCUUCCGUCCAACAAGCUCUUUAUUCCACCGGCGUUACACUCAAUCACGUCCCGACUGGAGUGAAAGAUGCGAGCGACAAGAAGAUAUUAGUGGAUAUGUUGUUAUGGGCAGUGGACAAUCCAGCUCCUGCGAAUUUUAUGCUCAUUUCUGGUGAUAGAGACUAUUCUCGCCCAACCUGACAAAGCAUCAGUUCCACUGUUCUCUGCUGCAAAGACAAUAUGGCUAUGGACAAACAUAGCUUUUGGGGAUUGUCCUCGUGGCAAACAAGGUGAAUCCUCACGACCCAUUGAUAGUGGACGCCAACAUCAUCCUUCUGGCACUGAGGUAUUAAGCCAUCCGGUUCGUAAACAAACUCAGCACAUUAAGCAGUUUGACUCAACUUUGAUCUCUUGAACUGGAAACAAGAGGGGCGAAAGCUUCUGUCAAUUAUGCAAUGUUGUUUGCUCGAGCCAUGACUUAACCUCUCACAUCUUUGGUAAAAGGCACAGAUCUAAGCUCAUGCAAGUAGCCGGUGAACGCCCUCAUGUCUGUUUAACCGAAGCAAAGCAUGUAUGGUGCAGAGUUUGCCAGACGAGUUACAACAGUGAAGGUAUGAAAAUCACAUCUUAGGGACAAGGCCCAGAACAAACUUGAAGAUCAAGCCGGGAAUUCAAGAAAGCGCGUCCGCAGAAUCCGCUAAUGGUCCUCCUUUAAUAUUAGAGCGAAAGAAAAUGCAAUUAGAGUUUGUAAAAUUUUGCUAAACUGGUAGUGUUUUGAGUCUCACCUUUGUUUUUUUUGGAUCGGGAUGCUAGAAAAAAAGAAGCUGAGCCAAGCUGAUAACUUUUGGUAUUUGGGAGAAGUUUUCUUGAAAGGUUGUGGGUUCGAGUCCUAGGUGGAUCAUUUUUUUUGAAAAAAUAGAAAAUCACUAC